rnacentral:rRNA from 1 species
UGUUUCGAUCGUGAUGACGUUGGUGGUUCUCUACCGAUGACGUUGCGAGAAGUUCAUUGAACCUUAUCAUUUAGAGGAAGGAGAAGUCGUAACAAGGUUACCAUAGGUGAACCUAUAGUAGGAUCAUU